UACGGCUAUAUAGCGUUGAAACAUUGGUUCCCAUACGAUCACCGAAGUUAAGCAAACACGAGCCUGAUCAGUACAUAGAUGAGUGACUACUUGGAAAUACCAGGUGCUGUAAG